rnacentral:rRNA from 1 species
GGAUGUUGGCUUAGAAGCAGCCAUCAUUUAAAGAAAGCGUAAUAGCUCACUGGUCGAGUCGGCCUGCGCGGAAGAUGUAACGGGGCUAAACCAUGCACCGAAGCUGCGGCAGCGACACUUAGGUGUUGUUGGGUAGGGGAGCGUUCUGUAAGCCGUUGAAGGUGACCUGUGAGGGUUGCUGGAGGUAUCAGAAGUGCGAAUGCUGACAUAAGUAACGAUAAUGCGGGUGAAAAACCCGCACGCCGGAAGACCAAGGGUUCCUGUCCAACGUUAAUCGGGGCAGGGUGAGUCGACCCCUAAGGCGAGGCUGAAAAGCGUAGUCGAUGGGAAACAGGUUAAUAUUCCUGUACUUGGUGUUACUGCGAAGGGGGGACGGAGAAGGCUAGGCUGGCCGGGCGACGGUUGUCCCGGUUUAAGCGUGUAGGGG